AUUGAACGCUGGCGGCAGGCCUAACACAUGCAAGUCGAACGGUAACAGGAAACAGCUUGCUGUUUCGCUGACGAGUGGCGGACGGGUGAGUAAUGUCUGGGAAACUGCCUGAUGGAGGGGGAUAACUACUGGAAACGGUAGCUAAUACCGCAUAACGUCGCAAGACCAAAGAGGGGGACCCUCGUGCCUCUUGCCAUCGGAUGUGCCCAGAUGGGAUUAGCUUGUUGGUGGGGUAACGGCUCACCAAGGCGACGAUCCCUAGCUGGUCUGAGAGGAUGACCAGCCACACAGGAACUGAGACACGGUCCAGACUCCUACGGGAGGCAGCAGUGGGGAAUAUUGCACAAUGGGCGCAAGCCUGAUGCAGCCAUGCCGCGUGUAUGAAGAA
rnacentral:rRNA from 1 species